AGGUCAUUGAAAACUCAAGACAUUUCCUGGAGUAGAAUGGGUAUUAAAGACCCAUGUCAGCUAUCAGAGGACUCCAGAAACUGGGAAAGCUGCCUGCUGUGUCAAGGCUGGCCUGAGGGCAUUUGCUGAGCACAGAGAAACACCAGAGAGAUCAACAGUCUGUUCUCAGCCACUUCAUUGAUGUGUCUGAUUUACACACAGAAAGCCAGUUAGGAUCCCCUAAUAGUCUCUAGGACCAGAAUGAAGUCCUCAGGGUUACAGGGGACUAUGAUACUAACAGUUAAACAUGCUCAGAACUUGAAAAAAUUGAAGGGAGCCCAGCCAGUGUGGCUCAGUGGUUGAGCAUUGACCCAUGAGCCAGGAGGUCCAGGUUCGAUUCCUGGUCAGGGCACAUGCCCAGGUUGCAGGCUCAGUCCCCAGUGGGGGAUGUGCAGGAGACAGCCGAUCAAUGUUUCUCAUCGAUGUUUCUCUCUCUCUUCCUCUCUCUAAAACUCAAUAAAAAACAUUUUUUUUUUUUUUUAAUGUUGAAGGGGACUAACAAUAUCCUCAUCAUGGCCUCCUAAAUCUGAAUAAACCAGCAACUAACUUCUG